rnacentral:rRNA from 1 species
AAAGAAUACCAAUUGCGAAGGCAGCUUUCUGGAUCAUUACUGACACUGAGGAACGAAAGCAUGGGUAGCGAAGAGGAUUAGAUACCCUCGUAGUCCAUGCCGUAAACGAUGUGUGUUAGACGUUGGAAAUUUAUUUUCAGUGUCGCAGCGAAAGCGAUAAACACACCGCCUGGGGAGUACGACCGCAAGGUUAAAACUCAAAUGAAUUGACGGGGACCCGCACAAGUAGUGGAGCAUGUGGUUUAAUUCGAAGAUACGCGCAGAACCUUACCAACACUUGACAUGUUCGUCGCGACUUUAAGAGAUUAAAGUUUUCGGUUCGGCCGGACGAAACACAGGUGCUGCAUGGCUGUCGUCAGCUCGUGUCGUGAGAUGUUGGGUUAAGUCCCGCAACGAGCGCAACCCUCACUUUUAGUUGCCAUCAUUAAGUUGGGCACUCUGAAAGAACUGCCAGUGAUAAGCUGGAGGAAGGUGGGGAUGACGUCAAGUCCUCAUGGCCCUUACGUGUUGGGCUACACACGUGCUACAAUGGUAUCUACAACAGGAAGCAAAACAGCGAUGUUAAGCAAAUCCUUAAAAGAUACCUCAGUUCGGAUUGCACUCUGCAACUCGAGUGCAUGAAGCUGGAAUUACUAGUAAUCGUGGAUCAGCGUGCCACGGUGAAUGCGUUCCCGGGUCUUGUACACACCGCCCGUCACACCAUGGGAGUUGGUUCUACCUUAAGGCAAGGCAUAAAAACCUUGACCACGGUAUAGUCAGCGACUGGGGUGAAGUCGUAACAAGGUAGCCGUAGGGGAACCUGCGGCUG